rnacentral:rRNA from 1 species
UACGUAGGGGGCGAGCGUUGUCCGGAAUUAUUGGGCGUAAAGAGCUCGUAGGCGGCUUUGUCAGUCGGGUGUGAAACCUCCAGGCUCAACCUGGAGCCGCCACCCGAUACUGCAAUAGCUAGAGUCCGGUAGGGGAGCAUGGAACUCCUGGUGUAGCGGUGAAAUGCGCAGAUAUCAGGAAGAACACCAGUGGCGAAGGCGGUGCUCUGGGCCGGAACUGACGCUGAGGAGCGAAAGCGUGGGGAGCAAACAGG